rnacentral:rRNA from 1 species
GAUGAACGCUGGCGGCGUGCCUAAUACAUGCAAGUCGAGCGAACAGACGAGGAGCUUGCUCCUCUGACGUUAGCGGCGGACGGGUGAGUAACACGUGGAUAACCUACCUAUAAGACUGGGAUAACUUCGGGAAACCGGAGCUAAUACCGGAUAAUAUAUUGAACCGCAUGGUUCAAUAGUGAAAGACGGUUUUGCUGUCACUUAUAGAUGGAUCCGCGCCGCAUUAGCUAGUUGGUAAGGUAACGGCUUACCAAGGCGACGAUGCGUAGCCGACCUGAGAGGGUGAUCGGCCACACUGGAACUGAGACACGGUCCAGACUCCUACGCGAGGCAGCAGUAGGGAAUCUUCCGCAAUGGGCGAAAGCCUGACGGAGCAACGCCGCGUGAGUGAUGAAGGUCUACGGAUCGUAAAACUCUGUUAUUAGGGAAGAACAAAUGUGUAAGUAACUAUGCACGUCUUGACGGUACCUAAUCAGAAAGCCACGGCUAACUACGUG